GUAGUCUUCUAACCACACUGAAAAUAUGAAAUCGCUGAACCUGUCCAGUUUUUUGAUGUUAGCUACAAUUAUUACUAUGGCAGCAGGACCGUCAGGUUAUCCCUUUCCACCAAUUCAUGUGAAGCCAUAAUAAGCAGUAAAUGCUCACUCGAGGAGUAGAAUACAAUUUAUAAAAAUGAUUUAAUGUUUUCAGAUGGUACUGAUUCGGAAGCAAAUGUUCCAAUCAAUAAAGUAGAAUAAUAUUAUUCGUAUAUGAGGAAUGAUAUUACCUCUAUUAUUCCUAAAUAAAAGUAAGAAACGAUGCAUGUUAA